CCAGUUUUAUAUUUAUAAACAACAAGUUGAUUCAGUACAAACAUGUCAGCAGAAGAUCAACUUGUUGUUUAUAAAUAUAAAACUGGCGCAUCCUA